GAUGAAGAACGUAGCGAAAUGCGAUAAGUAAUGUGAAUUGCAGAAUUCAGUGAAUCAUCGAAUCUUUGAACGCACAUUGCGCCCGCUAGUAUUCUGGCGGGCAUGCCUGUCCGAGCGUCAUUCCAACCCUCAAGCCCCCGGGCUUGGUGUUGGGGAUCGGCGAGCCUCCGCGCCCGCCGUCCCCUAAAUCUAGUGGCGGUCUCGCUGUAGCUUCCUCUGCGUAGUAGCACACCUCGCACUGGGAAACAGCGCGGCCACGCCGUUAAACCCCCAACUUCUGAACGUUUGACCUCGGAUCAGGUAGGAAUACCCGCUGAACUUAAGCAUAUCAAUAAGCGGAGGA
rnacentral:misc_RNA from 1 species